rnacentral:lncRNA from 1 species
CAGUGCAAUAUCUGAGCUCCUUCUACAAUGUUACUUCAAUGUUAUUUCACCUCACAAGGUAAAACAGAUGGUUAUUAUUACUGACCUUUCCCAUAACUUCAGAGAACACCUGGAACGCACCAAGGUUGGAAAGAUUGCCUCAUAAGAGACUUCGUAUCAUUGGCUGUUCAGGAUCCCAAUGGUGUUGCCACCAAAAGGUUGACCAAAGCAGAGAAGAAACAACUAAUCCAUAUUCAGCAUUAUGUCAUCAGUACCUUCCCAGAAAUAGGCAGCAUGUUCUCCUUGAGGGGUAUAGUACUGGGUUCUAGGGGGAAUCACUGUAUAACACAUCCAGAUGAACAUUCCAUCAGUUUGACAGCUCUCCAGCACUGAAACCUCUUCCUUGGCCCU